UACGAAGGGGGCUAGCGUUGCUCGGAAUCACUGGGCGUAAAGGGCGCGUAGGCGGCGUGGCAAGUCACUUGUGAAAUCUCCGGGCUUAACUCGGAACGGUCAAGUGAUACUGCUGUGCUAGAGUGCGGAAGGGGCAACUGGAAUUCUCGGUGUAGCGGUGAAAUGCGUAGAUAUCGAGAGGAACACCUGCGGCGAAGGCGGGUUGCUGGGCCGACACUGACGCUGAGGCGCGAAAGCUAGGGGAGCGAACGGG
rnacentral:rRNA from 1 species